rnacentral:misc_RNA from 1 species
GUGAUGAAACAAACUCGACAUAUCCACACAAACAGACGUAAAACCUCAUAUCCACCAAAACAUACAAAUCUAUUGCUUCAACAGAUUCUAGGAAAAAAUAAAUAUUAGAAUAGCACAACUUUAGAUAUGACAAAUUUAAUUUAUGUGAAGUUUAUAUAACUUCAAGUCUUCAACUAAACCUCAACUAGUUCAAAAUUCAGAACUAAGGCUUAGUUGAGUGCUCUGCAAAAUGUAAAUGGUUAAUUGCAUAAGAUGCUGACAAAAACGCAAAAAUUAUUAAAAAUGACGGUAAUAAAAUGAAUCAAAUUAUUGAUAUUGAUGAAACUAACUCGACAUAUUCACACAAACAGAUGCAAAACCUCACAUCCACCUAAACAUAUAAAUCUAUUGCUUCAGCAGAUUCUAGGAAAAAAAAGAUAUUAGUAUAGCAAUAAAAUAAUCGGUCACCCCAAUAUGUAAAGUUAUGAAAUUGAGCCUAAUUACAUGUAAAGAAUUGGUUCAAAUUUGUAAGCCAAUCAACCAAAACUCAGAUUCUUUCUCCUUUUCAACAGUAGCAACAGAAUAGAUAAGGUGAGACAACGUGUAGUCAAGCAACUAGCAAGAUUUCCAAUUGAUAAAACGCAACUAAAAAAAAAAAAAAAAAAAAA